rnacentral:rRNA from 1 species
AACGACCAUACCAUGCUGAAUAUACCGGUUCUCGUUAGAUCACCGAAGUCAAGCAUCAUUGGGCGCGGUCAGUACUUGGGUGGGUGACCACCUGGGAACACCGCGUGCCGUU